ensembl:lncRNA
UAGGGUUAAGUGACUUGACCAGCAAAACAGACACUAAUAAGUGUCUGAAGCCAGAUUUCAAUCCAGGAAGAAUCUUUCUCACAUUAGACAUAAUUUUCUAUCACUGGGCCAUCUAGCAUCUAGUUGCCCACAGAAUUCUUUUUUUUUUUUUUUUUUUUUUUUUUUUUUUUUUUUUUUUUUUUAAGUUUCUCACAUUGGAAAUUGUUUAUUUACUAAGGUACAAUAAUCAGAAUUAGAAACACAAACAUCUCUUCCACUGAAGUUUGAAUCUAUUAUCAUAUUGAGUUGACAAAGGCUCUUAUGAAUAAAAUGCAGGUUCUGCUAUAAUCUACAUCAAGUUGUGGUUAGGGUGAUCCAACCUGGCCUAGUGGUAACUACUUGCCAUAAGACUAGCAGCCUAGUUUUAGAAAGUCUUGAGUGGGCCAGCCACAGUCAUGGAUUUUCAGCCAAAUCAACUCUUUAAAAACUACAUUCUUCAGGUUAUAAACUCCAUUUAUGGAGGAAAUAACCGCAUACAAAAUCAGAUCCUUGGAAUAGAAUCACCAUUUGCAAUAGAAUCUCCCACUUCCCCUGGACUAAAGGUAGCACCCAUGUAAAAUGUGAUAAAUUAGGCAGGCUGAGGUAAGGCAAAGUGUGGAAUUAAGUUUUUAUUUACAGGACACUGCAAGACAGGAAAUUCCACAUAGAAAUGAGAACUCUAUUGAGGACAGAGGUUUCAUAUAGUAUGUACACAGUUCAAACUGUUCAAGUAUGCAUUAGUGUUACAUUAAAAGUCACAUUUAAAAAAGGAUCUUAGUGGAGAGACAGUAAGACAAAAUUAUACCAACAACAUGGCAUACAAGACUUGAAGGUUUGACUGUAAAACCUAAAAGUUAAAGGAUCUAGGUGUGCCAUCUUGAAUCUGGAAGGUAUAGCCCUCAGAGGUAGAUUCUGGUACAACAUUUUGAUCUUCUUCCUCUGCAGAGAAAUAUUUUUCAAUUAAGCUGGAGGAAGCCUUAUAUACCAUUUCAUUUUCAUGGGACUGAAGUGCUUCAAUUCUGUCUAGCCCUCCACAUUCUUCAAUUAGGAUACAAAGUUUUUCAGUUUCGUUUAGUUUUUCAGCAGCCAGAAAAAUAUUUGAAAUUGCAUGCAAAAAUAACCAGAACAAUUUUGCUGUCUUUUGCAGACAAGAGGUUGAUUAAGGGUUCCAGAAUUCCGUUUUGGACAAGAUAGACGAUCUGUUCAAUUGUUCCACCACUGGUAUAGUUUGUGACAGCCCAUACAGCUUCUUUCUGUGACUUAAAGUCUCCCUCUGACAGUAUUCCAACCAAGUAUGGAACUAGUCCAUGAUUCACAACUUGCUGUAUUUGGUCCUGACGGCCAGCCGUGAUGUUUGACAUGGUCCAUGCAGCCUCCUUCUGGAUAUUGGUUUUGGGGUGAGUAAGCAGGCUAGGAAAGACAGCAAGCGCUCCUGAAUCUAUUACAAUCUGAGUUUGUUCAUCUGUCCCAGUGACAAUGUUUCCUAUAGCCCGUAAGGAAGGAGUCACUAUUGGCAAUUCACCAGAUCCUAGAAGUUUGACUAGUUGUGAGACAACUCCUGUUUUCACAACUACUUCAAUCCUGUCUUUUGAGCCAUCUGUGAGGUAGGAAAUAGCCCAACAGGUAUCUGCCAGAACUUCUGUAUCAUGAUGAUGCAAAAGGCGAACGAAGGUUGGAAGAAUUUGCUCAAUAGCUUCUAUUGGGGGAGCAGGAUUCUUGUUGAGACAAAGAUUUGAAAGUGUCCAAGUAAGAUUUCUUAAGUAACCACAUGCUAAUGAUGAUAUAUCAGGAACUGCAAGAAGAGCUAGAAGAGGGUCUAUUGCACCAUACUUGAUAACCAAGUCUCUGUAGGCUGAACCAUCACCUGCAAUGUUUCCCAGAUGUGAGCCUGGGGAGAGGCCAACAGGGCAAUGAAUGCAGAUAUGGCUCCUCCACCUACCACAGCCUUGGUUUGGUCUGAUGUUCCAGAAGCAAUGUUAGUAAGUGCCCAAGCAGAUUCAAACUGAAUAGGAUUACAGUCUGUCCUGUCCAAGAAACCUACAAGUUUUGGAAUCAUACCAGCCUCAAUUAUUUGCUCUAUUAGAGGCUGUUUUUCCCUAGAAAGGAGUUUCCUAGCAGUUUGGGUAGCCUGAAGUUGAACCCCCAGAUUAUUACUAUUUAUGCCUUUGACAAUUUUUCAACAGACCAAAGUGCAGAACCCUGGUUAUUUCGGUUUUCUUGCAGAGGAAAAGUGGCAUCAUCAGGAAAAGUACUGACAUUUCUUCUUUUCAGCAUCUGGUCAUCUUUUUUUUUUUAGCUUUCCUCAGUUCUAUAUUCACUUCAAAUUGCCAGGCCUCAUUUCCAUUCUGUCUUCCCCUUUGUUCUUAAACCUAUUAAGCCGGGCAGCCGGUGAAUUAGCAUUUUCAUUGGUGAACAUGGUUGUAUUCAACACUGGGAGAAAAGCAGAGAGGGAAGUUAUAGGAGGUCGCUGGGCCCCAUAGGGGAAGCAGGAGGAGGUUGCAGCUGCGUCAUGGUUAGACUACUAGCAGACACUUGUCCACAGAAUUCUAAAAUACUCCUUCCA